rnacentral:lncRNA from 1 species
GGGGAGUAUGAUGGAGAUCAAGAUCAAGAAGAGAUAGAGGCCAAAGAUCAAGGACAAGAGGAGGUAGAGGCCGAAGUUGAAGAAGCUCAAGAAGUCAUUAACCUACCUCAAAGGCUUACAAGGAGCAAGUUUAAGGAAAUAGGAAGUAGUGGUAGAUUGUUUUCUCUUUUUAUAGUGUCUUUUGUAUAAAAAGUAGAAUGUUUAAAUACAUAGUUUUUAGGAAGGUGCUUAGACGGAAACAUUAGAUACCUCUUUUGUAAAGCAUCUUUAGGCUUUAGUUUAGAAUUUUCUAGAAGAUGAUUCUUCAUGAGUCACUAUAGGCG